CGGAAUAGCAUUGGCAAUAGGAGGCAUCGUGUUUGUCUGGAUAACUACUGUGUGGAAAACAGAGAUACCGUUUGCCAUGAUGAUUUGGAUUGGAAUCACGAUUUUGACAGUUGGAGCUUUAUUUAUUGAAAACUCUAACUGGCAGAGGGACAUCGACAUGGCUAAGAAACUGAACAUUGUGUAUGAACAAAAGAAAAAGGAGGAAAAUGCAAAGGAACCAAAGGUCUUCUUCGGAGCAGCUUUCAACGACAUCGACAUUACGGAC